CACACACACACACAUAUACACAUACAUACACACAUCAUUCUCUUCAUCACUUAACCUCCCUGCUCUUCCUCCUUCUCUUCCCUCUGUAUGUCUGCUCUCUCUUUCGCUCUCCCUCCUCUGAUUGGCCGACAGAGCAGCCAGCCAGCUUUCCCUUUCUCCCAGCUUCCAGAAGAAUUUACGUCACACAUCAGAGAGUCCCAACUGUAUAACGAUCGCCUUCAUAACCAUUAUUAUAUAUUGUGGCACAUCCACAAAGUCCUCUGUUUUUAAGAGGAAAUCACCUUUUAAAAUCAGCGGGGACAAUUGCCUGGGAAUUAUCUGCCGUCUCUAAUUGUGUAAUAAUGAUGAGAGGAUAAUAGUAGAUCACAGUGAAUGAAGGAGAAAGUGAGAGGAGAACACGGGAAGGUGGGGAGGGAUGAAGCACAAGAUAGGAGGAGAGGAAAUGGAGCAUAUGUAGAGAAAUCCGAUGAGAGGCGAGCUCCAGCUCUCGAGCUUCCCCCCUGAUUCCUGAGCUGCAGGGAGAGGGAGACACACAGACAGAUGCGGGUCAAACUGGAUCAGACCAUGCAGACGGUGGUUGUAGCCUACAGAGGGUUUGCGGUACUGUGGGCAAAAAUUACAGAGAAAACCCCCAUCCCCCACACAUGCAUGACAGACACAAACAUACGCACCAUCCUGUCCUCUCCCCUCAGUGUGGGCCUCAGCAUUACAUAACUCUUUGUGUUUCUGUGUGUCCGGCUGGCCGCAUGUGUGCGAGUUAUUCAUUGCUUCACUGCACACACUCGGGACAGCAGCCAAUGGUGAAGCCCUGCUCUUUAUAACUCAUUACGGCCACACAAAGAUUUUCUUUUUCUUUUGGUUGCUGCAUGACAUGUUUUUUUUUCUCCUUUCCCCCUCCUGUAUUUCAUUUCAAGAACUCAAAUACCAUUUUUGUCUGGGUGCACAUUAUGUCAGAUCAGCUGAUGUUUAGGUCUUACACACAUUUUUUGCAUCCUGUUUACAUUCUAGUUUACCAGCUUAUUCUAUUAUGUAAUGAAAUGUACUGAGACGAUUAUACAGUGUGCUUUGUGUCCCAUAAUGCAUCUCACCCAGCAGCAGCUCUGUGACCCCGAGCUGAUCAUCCUGUUUGACUUAGUGGUGACCUCUAACCCUGCACGUCCGCAUUCAGCUACAGUAUAUUAGCCUGCUGAAGACUUUACACUUAACAGCUUUGGCUUCUUUUCUUUGGCAAUGUCUUGUUUACAGUCUGCACGUUUGAAUGUGGAGCUUGUCUUUAAAGUAGCUAUAGUCAAUAUUUUUAGAAUAACAAUUUAUCAAAUGAUUAUAUAUAAUGUGAGAGGCAUCGCUCAUGGUGAUGAACCCACAGAGAAUUAUUACGUGAAUCUGUAGCUCCCUUCAGCUUUUCAGAGAUUUUCAGCUUAUUGUUAGUUGCACCUUUGCUGUUUCACUGUGUUCAAUCUAACUGCUCUCAUACCAUUGUUUUCGGCCACAGCAGGCAGCUGCUUUCAUUGAAAAAGGUAGUCACUAAAAACAGAGCUAAAAGAGAGACCUACAUUUGCAAGGUGGCCAGAAACAUGACUCCAAAUCAGUGUGGGACCCAAGCACUUGGCUUCAGCAGCCGCACGAGCAGUUAAUAACCAACAGCAUUGGUAGAACACUGAGAGCUGAUCAUUUCAGAGGCCUCAACCUGCUACAAACCAUAAAUAGCUUAUGUUGAUGGGGCUGAGAACUCUUUAAAGUACUGUCCUGAUGGAGAUAAUAGCCCACAAUAAUGCAGCAGGCAGAUAUAAGUCCAUUAUCUGUUUUUUUUAGUCUGGAUCAACGGAAGUACAUUGCCAGGAUAAGCCUGACAAGCCGGAUAUCUGGCGAAGAACCGGAUGUUAGGCUUUGCCCCUUCCCUGCUGCUAACUGUGUGUCAAAAUCCCUUCGCUACAGGAAACAACAAGAACAUCCUCCGAGCUAGCAAGCUAACAUUUUCGGCUGAAAAUAGGUUUUGCUGAGAAUUUGAAUUGUGCAAUAAGGUAGUCCUGCUUAGUUAUUUCAGUGAAUGAUUGUAAAGAAUUACAAAGAAUAUCUUUAUCUUGCAUUUACUUUGUGACUGGUUU